GACGAACGCUGGCGGCGUGCUUAACACAUGCAAGUCGAACGGAAAGGCCCUGCUUUUGUGGGGUGCUCGAGUGGCGAACGGGUGAGUAACACGUGAGUAACCUGCCCUUGACUUUGGGAUAACUUCAGGAAACUGGGGCUAAUACCGGAUAGGAGCUCCUGCUGCAUGGUGGGGGUUGGAAAGUUUCGGCGGUUGGGGAUGGACUCGCGGCUUAUCAGCUUGUUGGUGGGGUAGUGGCUUACCAAGGCUUUGAGGGGUAGCCGGCCUGAGAGGGUGACCGGCGACAUGGGGACUGAGAGAGGGCCCAGACUCCUACGGGAGGCAGCAGUGGGGAAUAUUGCACAAUGGGCGGAAGCCUGAGGCAGCAACGCCGGGUGCGGGAUGACGGCCUUCGGGUGGUAAACCGCUUUCGCCGGUGACGAAGCGUGAGUGACGGUAAUGGGUAAAGAAGCACCGGCUAACUACGUG
rnacentral:rRNA from 1 species